rnacentral:rRNA from 1 species
AACGAACGCUGGCGGCAGGCCUAACACAUGCAAGUCGAGCGCACCCUUCGGGGCGAGCGGUGGACGGGUUAGUAACGCGUGGGAAUGUACCCUUUUCUACGGAAUAGCCAUUGGAAACGAUGAGUAAUACCGUAUACGCCCUUUGGGGGAAAGAUUUAUCGGAGAAGGAUCAGCCCGCGUUAGAUUAGAUAGUUGGUGGGGUAAUGGCCUACCAAGUCUACGAUCUAUAGCUGGUCUUAGAGGAUGAUCAGCAACACUGGGACUGAGACACGGCCCAGACUCCUACGGGAGGCAGCAGUGGGGAAUCUUAGACAAUGGGCGCAAGCCUGAUCUAGCCAUGCCGCGUGAGUGAAGAAGGCCUUAGGGUCGUAAAGCUCUUUCGCCAGGGAUGAUAAUGACAGUACCUGGUAAAGAAACCCCGGCUAACUCCGUGCCGGCAGCCGCGGUAAUACGGAGGGGGUUAGCGUUGUUCGGAAUUACUGGGCGUAAAGCGCACGUAGGCGGAUUAGAAAGUAUGGGGUGAAAUCCCAGGGCUCAACCCUGGAACUGCCUCAUAAACUCCUAAUCUAGAGUUCGAGAGAGGUGAGUGGAAUUCCGAGUGUAGAGGUGAAAUUCAUA